CACAUUUUUCACCAAAAAAUGAAGAAAAUAUUCACGCUAUUAUGGCCAGUUUUGGUAGCUGUGGAUGGAUUAGCAUUUUCAACCAUUGCGCACAAUCAGAAAAUAUGUAAUGGAAUCUUUUGAAGAAUGUCGCGAAAGAGCGAAGAAAGAAUUAAUCGAUUUGAAAGUGAACAAUUAGCUGAUAAUGAAGAACGUGGAGAACUUACAGACGAAUUUGAUAUCAAAAAAAUUAUAGACAAAAUUCGGAGCGUUGUACGGUCAUUUCGAAAAUCUCCCAAAAAGAAUGAAAUUUUACAAAAAUAUGUGAAAAUGGAGUUCAACAAAGAGUUGCAGCUCAUCCUAGAUUGUCAGACUCGGUGGAACAGUUUACUAAAAAUGAUCGAACGGUUUCAUAUGCUGGAGUCUUGCUUGAAAAAAGCGAUGGUCGACCUUAAGGCAGAUUGCUUGGAAGAUUUUGAAUUUAAUAUUAUUAAAAGCAUUAUUAAAGUUUUAAAGCCGGUUUUUAAUUUAAUUCAUGUAACUAAUUCGAAAUAAAAAGUGAAAUAUAUAUUUGUUUCAAUUUAUAAGAAAUAAUAAUUAUUAUUAAAUAAUAACUUUUUUAUUAUAAAGAACCCA